UUUCCUGGUUUCUGAGGUGGGAAAAGCCAUAAUAGGAGAGGUGGCAGUGGCACCUGUGCCCAGUACCGAGGCCAGAGGUCCCUUGUGCCCUCAUCUCAGGGUUUCCUCCCAGGAUGGACUACCAUGAAACUGCACAAGUCCGUGCUCAGUUUCUUCCGUGGCUACAGAACACAGGCUCUGGACCGGGAGGGCAUCCUGCUAAAGGAGGGGGCCAGAAAUACCAGCUACCAGCACCGCUGGUUCAUCCUCCGGGGAAACCUCCUCUUCUACCUGGAACUGGUACCAGGCUGACCCACACACCCCUGAGCCUCAUCCUUUUAGAGAACUGCCAGUGAAGCCACGCCUUGGGGCCACAGAACCCUACGCCUUUACCAUCCUGACCCCAGGGGUAGAAGGUGGGCAGGCCUACAAGCCGGCAGCAGAAAAUCAGAAGCUGGGAGCCUGGCUGUGCUGCUACGCUCUCUGGAGGCCCAGCACCAGGAGCUGUGCCAGGCAGCUGGACAAGAGACCAGCUCACCCCCAGAGGACUGUGGCUCCCCACAGUACAGAGAGGGCAGUACCCUCUCCAGCUUGCAGGAGUUGCACGAGCACUCUGGGAAGGAGAUCCGGGUGCUGCAGGCGGCGCACAGACAGCUCCAGGAGGCCAGUGACAACGGAGGCAGUGGAUCCCAGGCAGAGGUGGAGUGGGAGCUCAACCACUGUCUGUUGAUGAGUGACUAAUAGACCAAAGGCCAAAAGGUACCUACCUGCCAAGACCAGGAGACCAGCCGAUUGCUUCAAGAGACACCCACAUCCUGACUAGCUCCGUCACUUCCUCCCUCCUUGUCCUUAUUCUAACCCCCUUCAUCAAAUAACAAUGCAGGAGACAGGCCCAGGUACAACA